rnacentral:rRNA from 1 species
AACGAACGCUGGCGGCAUGCCUAACACAUGCAGGUCGAACGAGACCUUCGGGUCUAGCGGCGCACGGGUGCGUAACGCGUGGGAACCUGCCCUUAGGUUCGGAAUAACUCCCCGAAAGGGGUGCUAAUACCGGAUAAUGUCUUCGGACCAAAGAUUUAUCGCCUUUGGAUGGGCCCGCGUUGGAUUAGCUAGUUGGUAGGGUAAAAGCCUACCAAGGCGACGAUCCAUAGCUGGUCUGAGAGGAUGAUCAGCCACACUGGGACUGAGACACGGCCCAGACUCCUACGGGAGGCAGCAGUGGGGAAUAUUGGACAAUGGGCGAAAGCCUGAUCCAGCAAUGCCGCGUGAGUGAUGAAGGCCUUAGGGUUGUAAAGCUCUUUUACCCGGGAUGAUAAUGACAGUACCGGGAGAAUAAGCUCCGGCUAACUCCGUG